rnacentral:rRNA from 1 species
GACGAACGCUGGCGGCGUGCUUAAUACAUGCAAGUCAACUUGACUUUAGAUAGCAAUAUCGAAAAGUAGGGUGGCGCACGGGUGCGUAACGCGUAGGUAAUCUGCCCUGAGGUCUGACAUAACCCGUCGAAAGGCGGGCUAACAUCAGAUGAUAUAUAAUCACGACAUCGUGGAAAUAUCAAAUCUUCGGAGCCUUGGGAUGAGCCUGCGUCUGAUUAGGUAGUUGGCGGAGUAAUAGCCCACCAAGCCUACGAUCAGUAGCUGGUCUGAGAGGAUGAUCAGCCACACGUAGGAACUGAAGACACGGUCCAGACCUCCGUACGGGAGCAGC